rnacentral:rRNA from 1 species
CAGCCGCCGCGGUAAUACGGAGGGUGCAAGCGUUAUCCGGAUUCACUGGGUUUAAAGGGUGCGUAGGCGGGCAGGUAAGUCAGUGGUGAAAUCCUGGAGCUCAACUCCAGAACUGCCAUUGAUACUAUCUGUCUUGAAUAUUGUGGAGGUAAGCGGAAUAUGUCAUGUAGCGGUGAAAUGCUUAGAUAUGACAUAGAACACCCAUUGCGAAGGCAGCUUACUACGCAUAUAUUGACGCUGAGGCACGAAAGCGUGGGGAUCAAACAGGAUUAGAUACCCUGGUAGUCCACGCCCUAAACUAUGGAUACUCGACAUACGCGAUACACUGUGUGUGUCUGAGCGAAAGCAUUAAGUAUCCCACCUGGGAAGUACGUUCGCAAGAAUGAAACUCAAAGGAAUUGGCGGGGGAGCACAG